rnacentral:rRNA from 1 species
GACGAACGCUGGCGGCGUGCCUAACACAUGCAAGUCGAGCGAAUGAAGUUCCUUCGGGAAUGGAUUUAGCGGCGGACGGGUGAGUAACACGUGGGCAACCUGCCUCAUAGAGGGGAAUAGCCUUCCGAAAGGGAGAUUAAUACCGCAUAAGAUUGUAGUAUCGCAUGAUACAGCAAUUAAAGGAGCAAUCCGCUAUGAGAUGGGCCCGCGGCGCAUUAGCUAGUUGGUGAGGUAACGGCUCACCAAGGCGACGAUGCGUAGCCGACCUGAGAGGGUGAUCGGCCACAUUUGGACUGAGACACGGCCCAGACUCCUACGGGAGGCAGCAGUGGGGAAUAUUGCACAAUGGGGGAAACCCUGAUGCAGCAACGCCGCGUGAGUGAUGACGGCCUUCGGGUUGUAAAGCUCUGUCUUCAGGGACGAUAAUGACGGUACCUGAGGAGGAAGCCACGGCUAACUACGUG